GACGAACGCUGGCGGCGUGCUUAACACAUGCAAGUCGAGCGGUAACGCCUCUUCUGGGGUCCACGAGCGGCGAACGGGUGGGUAACACGUGGGUGACCUGCCCUCAGCUCUGGGAUAUGCCUGCGAAACUGGGUCUAAUACCGGAUAUGACCGUUCCUCGCAUGGAGUUUGGUGGAAAGUUUUUUCGGCUAGGGAUGGGCGUGCGGGCCAUCAGCGUGUUGGUGGGGUGACGGCCUACCAAGGCGACGACGCGUAGCUGGCCUGAGAGGGCGACCCGCCACACUGGGACUGAGACACGGCCCAGACUCCUACGGGAGGCAGCAGUGGGGAAUAUUGGGCAAUGGGCGGAAGCCUGACGCAGCGACGCCGCGUGGGGGAUGACGGCCUUCGGGUUGUAAACCUCUUUUGACCGCGACGAAUUUGAACGGUAGGGGUAGAAGAAGCACGGGCAAACUAGGG
rnacentral:rRNA from 1 species